rnacentral:rRNA from 1 species
UCGACGUGGUUCGGCACAGUGGGACGGGUGAGUAACACGUGGGAACCUGCCUUUCGGUUCGGGAUAACGUCUGGAAACGGACGCUAACACCGGAUACGCCCUUCCUGGAGACAGGUUGGGGAAAGUUCACGCCGAGAGAGGGGCCCGCGUCCGAUUAGGUAGUUGGUGAGGUAACGGCUCACCAAGCCGACGAUCGGUAGCUGGUCUGAGAGGAUGAUCAGCCACACUGGGACUGAGACACGGCCCAGACUCCUACGGGAGGCAGCAGUKGGGAAUAUUGGACAAUGGGCGCAAGCUGAUCCAGCAAUGCCGCGUGAGUBAUGAAGGCCUUAGGGUUGUAAAGCUCUUUCGCACGCBACGAUGAUGACGGUAGCSUGAGAAGAAGCCCCGGCUAACUUCGUGCCAMCAGCCGCGGUAAUACGAAGGGGGCUAGCGUUGUUCGGAAUUACUGGGCGUAAAGGGCGCGUAGGCGGNCUGUUUAGUCAGAAGUGAAAGCCCCGGGCUCAACCUGGGAACCGCUUUUGAUACUGGCAGGCUUGAGUUCCGGAGAGGAUGGUGGAAUUCCCAGUGUAGAGGUGAAAUUCGUAGAUAUUGGGAAGAACACCGGUGGCGAAGGCGGCCAUCUGGACGGACACUGACGCUGAGGCGCGAAASSUCGGGGAGCAAACAGGCUUAGAUACCCYCGUAGUCCACSCCGUAAACCAUGAAUYUAAACSCGGGGUCGA